rnacentral:rRNA from 1 species
AGUGAACGCUGGCGGCAGGCCUAAUACAUGCAAGUCGAACGGCAGCACAGCAGAGCUUGCUCUGUGGGUGGCGAGUGGCGGACGGGUGAGGAAUACAUGGGAAUCUGCCCAGUCGUGGGGGAUAACGUGGGGAAACUUACGCUAAUACCGCAUGCGCCCUUCGGGGGAAAGCCGGGGACCUUCGGGCCUGGCGCGAUUGGAUGAGCCCAUGUCGGAUUAGCUAGUUGGCAGGGUAAAGGCCCACCAAGGCGACGAUCCGUAGCUGGUCUGAGAGGAUGAUCAGCCACACUGGAACUGAGACACGGUCCAGACUCCUACGGGAGGCAGCAGUAGGGAAUAUUGGACAAUGGGCGCAAGCCUGAUCCAGCCAUGCCGCGUGAGUGAAGAAGGCCUUCGGGUUGUAAAGCUCUUUUGUCCGGAAAGAAAAGCAUCCAGUUAAUACCUGGGUGUCCUGACGGUACCGGAAGAAUAAGCACCGGCUAACUUCGUGCCAGCAGCCGCGGUAAAAC